CUGGCUCAGGAUGAACGCUAGCUACAGGCUUAACACAUGCAAGUCGAGGGGCAGCAUGGUCUUAGCUUGCUAAGGCCGAUGGCGACCGGCGCACGGGUGAGCAACACGUAUCCAACCUGCCGUCUACUCUUGGACAGCCUUCUGAAAGGAAGAUUAAUACAAGAUGGCAUCAUGAGUCCGCAUGUUCACAUGAUUAAAGGUAUUCCGGUAGACGAUGGGGAUGCGUUCCAUUAGAUAGUAGGCGGGGUAACGGCCCACCUAGUCUUCGAUGGAUAGGGGUUCUGAGAGGAAGGUCCCCCACAUUGGAACUGAGACACGGUCCAAACUCCUACGGGAGGCAGCAGUGAGGAAUAUUGGUCAAUGGGCGAGAGCCUGAACCAGCCAAGUAGCGUGAAGGAUGACUGCCCUAUGGGUUGUAAACUUCUUUUAUAAAGGAAUAAAGUCGGGUAUGGAUACCCGUUUGCAUGUACUUUAUGAAUAAGGAUCGGCUAACUCCGUGCCAGCAGCCGCGGUAAUACGGAGGAUCCGAGCGUUAUCCGGAUUUAUUGGGUUUAAAGGGAGCGUAGAUGGAUGUUUAAGUCAGUUGUGAAAGUUUGCGGCUCAACCGUAAAAUUGCAGUUGAUACUGGAUAUCUUGAGUGCAGUUGAGGCAGGCGGAAUUCGUGGUGUAGCGGUGAAAUGCUUAGAUAUCACGAAGAACUCCGAUUGCGAAGGCAGCCUGCUAAGCUGCAACUGACAUUGAGGCUCGAAAGUGUGGGUAUCAAACAGGAUUAGAUACCCUGGUAGUCCACACGGUAAACGAUGAAUACUCGCUGUUUGCGAUAUACUGCAAGCGGCCAAGCGAAAGCGUUAAGUAUUCCACCUGGGGAGUACGCCGACAACGGUGAAACUCAAAGGAAUUGACGGGGGCCCGCACAAGCGGAGGAACAUGUGGUUUAAUUCGAUGAUACGCGAGGAACCUUACCCGGGCUUAAAUUGCAGAUGAAUUACGGUGAAAGCCGUAAGCCGCAAGGCAUCUGUGAAGGUGCUGCAUGGGUGUCGUCAGCUCGUGCCGUGAGGUGUCGGCUUAAGUGCCAUAACGAGCGCACCCCUUAUCUUUAGUUACUAACAGGGUA
rnacentral:rRNA from 1 species